rnacentral:rRNA from 1 species
GCUAAGACUGGAUAGGAAGAAAUAAGGCAUCUUUUUUCUUUUAAAAGACCUAGUGAUAGGUAUACUUUAGGAGGGGCUUGCGCCAUAUUAGUUAGUUGGUAGGGUAAUGGCCUACCAAGACGAUGAUGUGUAGCUGGACUGAGAGGUUGAACAGCCACAUUGGGACUGAGACACGGCCCAAACUCCUACGGGAGGCAGCAGUAGGGAAUUUUCGGCAAUGGAGGAAACUCUGACCGAGCAACGCCGCGUGAACGACGAAGUACUUUGGUAUGUAAAGUUCUUUUAUCAAGGAAGAAAAGCAAGUGGUGAACCAUUUGUUUGCCGGUACUUGAUGAAUAAGCCCCGGCUAAUUAUGUGCCAGCAGCCGCGGUAAGACAUAAGGGGCAAGUGUUAUCCGGAAUUAUUGGGCGUAAAGGGUGCGUAGGCGGUCUAGUAAGUCAGUGGUGUAAUGGCAACGCUCAACGUUGUCCGGCUAUUGAAACUGCUAAACUUGAGUUAGAUAGAGGCGAGUGGAAUUCCAUGUGUAGCGGUAAAAUGCGUAAAUAUAUGGAGGAACACCAGAGGCGUAGGCGGCUCGCUGGGUCUUAACUGACGCUGAGGCACGAAAGCGUGGGGAGCAAACAGGAUUAGAUACCCUGGUAGUCCACGCCGUAAACGAUGAGUACUAAGUGUCGGGUUAAACCGGUACUGAAGUUAACACAUUAAGUACUCCGCCUGAGUAGUACGUACGCAAGUAUGAAACUUAAAGGAAUUGACGGGACUCCGCACAAGCGGUGGAUCAUGUUGUUUAAUUCGAAGAUACCCGAAAAACCUUACCAGGUCUUGACAUGUUUUUGCGAAACGGUAGUAAUAUCGUGGAGGUUAUCAGAAACACAGGUGGUGCAUGGUUGUCGUCAGCUCGUGUCGUGAGAUGUUAGGUUAAGUCCUAAAACGAGCGAAACCCUUAUCGUUAGUUGCCAGCACGUUAUGGUGGGGACUUUAACGAGACUGCCAGUGAUAAAUUGGAGGAAGGUGAGGAUCACGUCAAAUCAGCAUGCCCCUUAUGACCUGGGCUACAAACGUGAUACAAUGGCUGUUACAAAGGGUAGCUGAAACGCAAGUUCUUGGCCAAUCCCCAAAAACAGUAUCAGUCCGGAUUGAAGUCUGCAACUCGACUUCAUGAAGUUGGAAUCGCUAGUAAUCGCGAAUCAGCAUGUCGCGGUGAAUACGUUCUCGGGGUUUGUACACACCGCCCGUCA